rnacentral:rRNA from 1 species
GUGAGGAAUUUUCCGCAAUGGGCGAAAGCCUGACGGAGCAAUGCCGCGUGAAGGAUGAAGGCCUAUGGGUUGUAAACUUCUUUUCUCAGAAAAGAAUUAUGACGGUAUCUGAGGAAUAAGCAUCGGCUAACUCUGUGCCAGCAGCCGCGGUAAGACAGAGGAUGCAAGCGUUAUCCGGAAUGAUUGGGCGUAAAGCGUCUGUAGGUUGUUUAAAAAGUAUUCUGUCAAAGAUUAGGGCUUAACCCUAGAUAGGCAGAAUAAACUUUUAAGCUAGAGUUUGGUAGAGUCAGAGGGAAUUCCCGGUGGAGCGGUGAAAUGCGUAGAUAUCGGGAGGAACACCAAAGGCGAAGGCACUCUGCUGGGCCAAUACUAACACUGAGAGACGAAAGCGAGGGGAGCAAAUGGGAUUAGAAACCCGUGUAGUCC